rnacentral:rRNA from 1 species
GACGAACUGUGCAAACGUUAUUCGGAAUCACUGGGCUUGAAGAGUGCGUAGGCGGUUUCUUAAGUCGGUGGUGAAAUCCUGGAGCUCAACUCCAGAACUGCCUUCGAUACUGGGAAACUUGAGUCCGGGAGAGGUGAGUGGAACUGCGAGUGUAGAGGUGAAAUUCGUAGAUAUUCGCAAGAACACCAGUGGCGAAGGCGGCUCACUGGCCCGGUACUGACGCUGAGGUGCGAAAGCGUGGGGAGCAAACAGG